UACGUAGGGUGCAAGCGUUAAUCGGAAUUACUGGGCGUAAAGCGUGCGCAGGCGGUUCUAUAAGACAGAUGUGAAAUCCCCGGGCUCAACCUGGGAACUGCAUUUGUGACUGUAGAGCUGGAGUACGGCAGAGGGGGAUGGAAUUCCGCGUGUAGCAGUGAAAUGCGUAGAUAUCGGAAGGAACACCAGUGGCGAAAGCGGCUUCCUGGUCCAGCACCGACGUUCAGGCACGAAAGCGUGGGGAGCAAACAGG
rnacentral:rRNA from 1 species